rnacentral:rRNA from 1 species
AGAGUUUGAUUAUGGCUCAGGAUGAACGCUGGCGGCGUGCUUAACACAUGCAAGUCGAACGAGGUCCAACCUUCGGGUGAAGACCGAGUGGCGAACGGGUGAGUAACACGUGGGGAACCUGCCCUUCUCUCUGGGAUAACCUCGGGAAACCGAAGCUAAUACCGGAUACUCCUUGCGGACCGCAUGGUCUGCUCGGGAAAGCUCCGGCGGAGAAGGAUGGCCCCGCGGCCCAUUAGCUUGUUGGUGGGGUAACGGCCCACCAAGGCGACGAUGGGUAGCCGAGCUGAGAGGCUGAUCGGCCACACUGGGACCGAGACACGGCCCAGACUCCUACGGGAGGCAGCAGUGGGGAAUCUUGCGCAAUGGGCGAAAGCCUGACGCAGCAACGCCGCGUGCGGGAUGAAGGCUCUCGGGUCGUAAACCGCUUUCAGCAGGGAUGAAAAUGACAGUACCUGCAGAAGAAGCCCCGGCUAAAUACGUGCCAGCAGCCGCGGUAAUACGUAUGGGGCAAGCGUUAUCCGGAUUCAUUGGGCGUAAAGCGCGCGUAGGCGGCUUGUUAAGUCAGGCGUGAAAUCCGGGGGCUCAACCCGCGGCUUGCGUCUGAAACUGGCAGGCUUGAGUCUGGUAGAGGAAAGUGGAAUUCCUGGUGUAGCGGUGAAAUGCGCAGAUAUCAGGAGGAACACCAGUGGCGAAGGCGGCUUUCUGGGCCACGACUGACGCUGAGGCGCGAAAGCUAGGGGAGCGAACAGGAUUAGAUACCCUGGUAGUC